rnacentral:rRNA from 1 species
GACGAACGCUGGCGGCGUGCUUAACACAUGCAAGUCGAACGGAAAGGCCCUGCUUUUGUGGGGUGCUCGAGUGGCGAACGGGUGAGUAACACGUGAGUAACCUGCCCUUGACUUUGGGAUAACUUCAGGAAACUGGGGCUAAUACCGGAUAGGAGCUCCUGCUGCAUGGUGGGGGUUGGAAAGUUUCGGCGGUUGGGGAUGGACUCGCGGCUUAUCAGCUUGUUGGUGGGGUAGUGGCUUACCAAGGCUUUGACGGGUAGCCGGCCUGAGAGGGUGACCGGCCACAUGGGGACUGAGAUACGGCGCAGAAUCCUACGGGAGGCAGCGGUGGGGAAUAUUGCACAAUGGGCGGAAGCCUGAUGCGGCAACGCCGCGUGCGGGAUGACGGCCUUCGGGUUGUAAACCGCUUUCGCCUGUGACGAAGCGUGAGUGACGGUAAUGGGUAAAGAAGCACCGGCUAACUACGUG